rnacentral:rRNA from 1 species
UACGUAGGGUGCAAGCGUUAAUCGGAAUUACUGGGCGUAAAGCGUGCGCAGGCGGUUUUGUAAGUCUGUCGUGAAAUCCCCGGGCUCAACCUGGGAAUUGCGAUGGAGACUGCAAGGCUGGAGUCUGGCAGAGGGGGGUAGAAUUCCACGUGUAGCAGUGAAAUGCGUAGAGAUGUGGAGGAACACCGAUGGCGAAGGCAGCCCCUGGGUCAAGACUGACGCUCAUGCACGAAAGGCGUGGGGAGCAAACGAGGAUUACGAA